rnacentral:tRNA from 1 species
UCCCUGGUGGCUCAGACGAUGAAAGAAUCCACCUGCAAUGUGGGAGACCUGGGUUUGAUCCCUGGCUUGGGAA